rnacentral:rRNA from 1 species
GUGGGGAAUCUUGCACAAUGGGCGAAAGCCUGAUGCAGCAACGCCGCGUGCGGGAAGAAGGCCCUAGGGUUGUAAACCGCUUUCAGCAGGGAAGAAAAUGACGGUACCUGUAGAAGAAGGUGCGGCCAACUACGUGCCAGCAGCCGCGGUGACACGUAGGCACCAAGCGUUGUCCGGAUUUAUUGGGCGUAAAGAGCUCGUAGGCGGUUCGGUAAGUCGGGUGUGAAAACUCUGGGCUCAACCCAGAGCCGCCACCCGAUACUGCUGUGACUCGAGUGCGGUAGGGGAGCGGGGAAUUCCUGGUGUAGCGGUGAAAUGCGCAGAUAUCAGGAGGAACACCAGUGGCGAAGGCGCCGCUCUGGGCCGUGACUGACGCUGAGGAGCGAAAGCGUGGGUAGCAAACAGGAUUAGAAACCCGAGUAGUCC